rnacentral:rRNA from 1 species
GAUGAACGCUGGCGGUGUGCCUAACACAUGCAAGUCGAGCGAACAGACGAGAAGCUCUCUCCCCUGACGUUAGCGGCGGACGGGCGAGUAACACGUGGAUAACCUUCUUCUUCUUCUGGGAUAAUUACGGGAAACCGGUUCUACUACUGGCUCAUAUAUCGAACGGCAGGGUUCAAUAGUGCAUCACGCUUUUGCCGACUCUUUUAGACGGUUUCGCGUCGGAUUAGCUAGUUGGUAAGGUAACGGCUUACCAAGGCGACGAUGCGUAGCCGAUCUGAGAGGGUGAUCAGCCACACUGGAACUGAGACACGGUCCAGACUCCUACGGGAGGCAGCAGUAGGGAAUAUUCCGCAAUGGGCGAAAGCCUGACGGAGCAACACCGCGUGGGUGAAGGAGGCCUUCGGAUCGUAAAGCUCUGUUGUUGGGAAAGAAAAGAAGUAGGUGAAUACACGCCCGUUUUGACGGUACCUAAAGAAAAAGCAACGGCUAACUUCGUG